GGGGGCGACUUGGCUUCGACGGGGAUGUAGCAGUUACGGUAGCGUGUCGAGGUUCUCGGACUCCUCGUAAAUCCAUUCGGGAAAACACAAUCGCCAACAACAACUUGGCCCUGGCUGCCUAACUUCUAGUUAGACCAGCAGUGCGUAGAUGGAAGCCCGCCCGGGGCGGCUGUCUACGUAUCGCAAAUCCGGGAUAGUGUCCUGAUGUGUUGCCGGUCAGGAUGCAAAACUCAAGGUGACUUGUCUCGACGUGGGCGGCCCACUGGCCAGCGGCGGGAGACCUCAAUCGGUGGGACACACACGUAGAAGCCGUAGCGGAAGCAUUUUCGGACCCGGGUUCGAUUCCCGGCGCCUCCAUGC
rnacentral:tmRNA from 1 species